GGUUAAGUGACUAAGCGUACACGGUGGAUGCCUUGGCAA
rnacentral:rRNA from 6 species